GCGGUGAAAUGCGUAGAUAUUAGGAGGAACACCAGUUGCGAAGGCGGCUCUCUGGACUGUAACUGACGCUGAGGCACGAAAGCGUGGGGAGCAAACAGGAUUAGAUGCCCUGGUAGUCCACGCUGUAAACGAUGAGUACUAGGUGUCGGGGGUUACCCCCUUCGGUGCCGCAGCUAACGCAUUAAGUACUCCGCCUGGGAAGUACGCUCGCAA
rnacentral:rRNA from 1 species